rnacentral:lncRNA from 1 species
CUAAUUAAUUUCCCCUUUCCUCUCUCUCUCUCUCUCUCUCUCUCUCUCACACACACACACACACACACAUACACAUUACAAUAGUUGGCAAUGCUGUGAGGGUAAUGGAUGGAGGCUGACGAAAAGUUCAACAAUAAAUUGAAUAUCAGUUGACGAAGCAACGACGCCAUUGAGGGUCUCAGGGCACUCAGUGUUAGAUAUUGCGUUUUGGUUGUUGGUGGUGGUGGUGGAGGAUCUCAAAGCCCUGACAUUGCGUGCGAUGCUACGUAAAGGGGUGCUGUAGAUUGAGGGUGUACUUUCUUCCAUUUUUCUUCGUGGUCGGCUGCAAAUAGGUGUUACUUUUCUCCCAUUUUUUCUCUUGUUACAUGUGGCCGAUUUUACAAAUCGAUGGAAGAAGAGAAGAGAAUGGAUGGUUGUGCUUGUGGUGGUGGUGGAGGUGCUCACGAUCUGGUACCAAGUGUUUGGUGAUGCCUCGAUUUGGUGGUUGUUUUGCGUUGUUGUGGUUGUAGUUUUGUGUUGUUGUGGUGGUGGUCUUGCGUUGCUUGAUGUGUGGUGGUGUUGUGGUUAUUGUAGUGGUGAUUUUAUGAGGUCUGGUGAGGUAGGUGGUCAUUGUAAUGGUGAUGGUGGUUGUUGUAGCGAUGGUGGUGGUUGUGGG